rnacentral:rRNA from 1 species
AUACGGAGGGUGCAAGCGUUACUCGGAAUCACUGGGCGUAAAGCGCGCGCAGGCGGGCUGAUAAGUUGGAUGUGAAAGCCUACGGCUCAACCGUAGAACUGCAUCCAAAACUGUCAGGCUAGAGUGUGGGAGAGGAAGAUGGAAUUAGUUGUGUAGGGGUAAAAUCCGUAGAGAUAACUAGGAAUACCAAAAGCGAAGGCAAUCUUCUGGAACACUACUGACGCUCAGGCGCGAAGGCGUGGGGAGCAAACAGGAUUAGAAACCCCGGUAGUCC